rnacentral:sRNA from 1 species
GUUUAGCCCAGAUAGAAAUGAAAAUCCUUUGCCUAAAAAAAACCCUUUUUUGCUAGCACUACAGAGCGACCAAAGGAAGCUCCUGUAGGGGUUUGCAAAAAAAGGUUUUUUGGGCAAAGAUUGUAAUGUAUAGCUGGAUUGGCU